UACGAAGGGUGCAAGCGUUACUCGGAAUUACUGGGCGUAAAGGGUGCGUAGGUGGUUUGUUAAGUCUGCUGUGAAAUCCCCGGGGCUCAACCUGGGAAUGGCAGUGGAUACUGGCAAGCUAGAGUGCGGUAGAGGGUAGUGGAAUUCCCGGUGUAGCAGUGAAAUGCGUAGAGAUCGGGAGGAACACCAGUGGCGAAGGCGGCUACCUGGACCAGCACUGACACUGAAGCACGAAAGCGUGGGGAGCAAACAGG
rnacentral:rRNA from 1 species